CUUUAUUAUGUUGAUGCUUCCAAUGUGACCCCAGGUCAGGCGGGACUACCCGCUGAGUUUAAGCAUAUCAAUAAGCGG
rnacentral:rRNA from 1 species